GUGGAAGAGCUCUGGAAGUUUUGUGCAACUCAAGUAGUAAGCCUGGGUGCAGCUAUAACAAAAAGCAUGCCAAGGAGCUCAAAGAAAUUGAACUCUUUUGUUGAAAAUGUCUGCAGAUCCUUUCUACACUGAUCCUGCAGAUUUACUGGGAGGAGGAAGGCAAUUCACAGUGAAAACAAUAGUUCAAGACACCACAGAUGGAAAUUUAAAUGUGGUGUGAUACUGCACAUCAGGAGCCAGGUAAGGUAAUUGUAUUGCAA